GGGACCGUAGCUCAAUUGGAAGAGCACUGCGGCGGCCGCCGACAACAAGUCAGAGGUUGCAGGUUCGACUCCUGCCGGUUCCACCA
rnacentral:tRNA from 1 species